UGUGGGAGCUGGCUUGCCUGCGAUAGCGGUGUGUCAGCCCCACAUUGCUCACUGAUACACCGCUAUCGCAGGCAAGCCAGCUCCCACA
rnacentral:misc_RNA from 1 species